AGAGUUUGAUCCUGGCUCAGAUCGAACGCUGGCGGCGUGGCUAAGACAUGCAAGUCGCACGAGAAAGUUCCUUCGGGAACGAGUAGAGUGGCGAAAGGGUGAGGAAUACAUGGAUAACGUACCCCAGGCACAGGGAUAGCCGUGGGAAACCGCGGGUAAUACCUGACACCGUCAUGAUGCUGCAGGGCAUCUUGAUGAAAGGUGGGGACCUUCGGGCCUAUCGGCCUGGGAGCGGUCCAUGUCCUAUCAGCUUGUUGGUGAGGUAACGGCUCACCAAGGCAACGACGGGUACCGGGACUGAGAGGUUGACCCGGCACAUUGGGACUGAGACACUGCCCAGACUCCUACGGGAGGCUGCAGUAACGAAUAUUGCACAAUGGGCGCAAGCCUGAUGCAGCGACGCCGCGUGUGGGAGUAAGCCCUUCGGGGUGUAAACCACUGUCAGGGACUACCAAGCAAUGGAGGUGAAUAAUCUCCUGCGUUGAGGCGUCCCAGAGGAAGUCACGGCUAACUUCGUGCCAGCAGCCGCGGUAAUACGAAGGUGGCAAGCGUUGUUCGGAAUCACUGGGCUUAAAGAGCACGUAGGCGGACUGUCAAGCGUCUUGUGAAAUCCCUCGGCUUAACCGAGGAAUUGCUGGGCGAACUGACAGUCUUGAGGCAAGUAGGGGCGCACGGAACUCUUGGUGGAGCGGUGGAAUGCGUAGAUAUCAAGAGGAACGCCAGAGGCGAAGGCGGUGCGCUGGGCUUGACCUGACGCUGAGGUG
rnacentral:rRNA from 1 species